CCAGACUCCUACGGGAGGCAGCAGUGGGGGAUAUUGCACAAUGGGGGAAACCCUGAUGCAGCGACGCCGCGUGGGUGAAGAAGCGCCUCGGCGCGUAAAGCCCUAUCGGCAGGGAAGAAGGAGGACGGUACCUGACUAAGAAGCCCCGGCUAACUACGUGCCAGCAGCCGCGGUAAUACGUAGGGGGCAAGCGUUAUCCGGAUUUACUGGGUGUAAAGGGGGCGCAGACGGCAGCGCAAGCCAGGAGUGAAAGCCCGGGGCUCAACCCCGGGACUGCAUUUGGAACUGUGUGGCUGGAGUGUCGGAGAGGCAGGCGGAAUUCCUAGUGUAGCGGUGAAAUGCGUAGAUAUUAGGAGGAACACCAGUGGCGAAGGCGGCCUGCUGGACGAUGACUGACGUUGAGGCUCGAAAGCGUGGGGAGCAAACAGGAUUAGAUACCCCUGUA
rnacentral:rRNA from 1 species